UACGUAGGGUGCGAGCGUUAAUCGGAAUUACUGGGCGUAAAGCGUGCGCAGGCGGUUCGCUAAGACCGAUGUGAAAUCCCCGGGCUUAACCUGGGAACUGCAUUGGUGACUGGCGGGCUAGAGUAUGGCAGAGGGGGGUAGAAUUCCACGUGUAGCAGUGAAAUGCGUAGAGAUGCGGAGGAACACCGAUGGCGAAGGCAAUCCCCUGGGCCUGCACUGACGCUCAUGCACGAAAGCGUGGGGAGCAAACAGG
rnacentral:rRNA from 1 species